rnacentral:rRNA from 1 species
GAGUUUGAUCUUGGCUCAGAUUGAACGCUGGCGGCAUGCCUUACACAUGCAAGUCGAACGGCAGCACGGGAGCUUGCUCCUGGUGGCGAGUGGCGAACGGGUGAGUAAUGCAUCGGAACGUAUCCUGGAGUGGGGGAUAACGUAGCGAAAGUUACGCUAAUACCGCAUAUUCUGUGAGCAGGAAAGCGGGGGACCUUCGGGCCUCGCGCUCUUGGAGCGGCCGAUGUCGGAUUAGCUAGUUGGUGAGGUAAAGGCUCACCAAGGCGACGACCCGUAGCAGGUCUGAGAGGAUGAUCUGCCACACUGGAACUGAGACAUGGUCCAGACUCCUACGGGAGGCAGCAGUGGGAAUUUUGGACAAUGGGGGCAACCCUGAUCCAGCCAUGCCGCGUGAGUGAAGAACGGCC